AACGGGUGAGUAACGCGUGAGGAACCUGCCUCAAANAGGGGGACAACAGUUGGAAACGACUGCUAAUACCGCAUAAGCCCACGGGUCGGCAUCGACCAGAGGGAAAAGGAGCAAUCCGCUUUGAGAUGGCCUCGCGUCCGAUUAGCUAGUUGGUGAGGUAAUGGCCCACCAAGGCAAUGAUCGGUAGCCGGACUGAGAGGUUGAACGGCCACAUUGGGACUGAGACACGGCCCAGACUCCUACGGGAGGCAGCAUG
rnacentral:rRNA from 1 species